rnacentral:rRNA from 1 species
CGCGUAGGCGGUCAGCACAAGUCAGUUGUGAAAUCUCCGAGCUUAACUCGGAAAGGUCAACUGAUACUGUGCGACUAGAGUGCAGAAGGGGCAACUGGAAUUCUUGGUGUAGCGGUGAAAUGCGUAGAUAUCAAGAGGAACACCUGCGGCGAAGGCGGGUUGCUGGGCUGACACUGACGCUGAAGCGCGAAAGCCAGGGGAGCGAACG